rnacentral:rRNA from 1 species
GGAAUCUUCGGCAAUGGGGGCAACCCUGACCGAGCAACGCCGCGUGAGUGAAGAAGGUUUUCGGAUCGUAAAGCUCUGUUGUAAGAGAAGAACGUGUGUGAGAGUGGAAAGUUCACACAGUGACGGUAACUUACCAGAAAGGGACGGCUAACUACGUACCAG